CCUCUGCGCUGCACGCGCGAGAGAUGCCCUCCCACCCGAUUCCACACCCACGGGAGACCGCCCUCCGCCGCGGAGGGCCACGCCAGCGAUCUCCCCUCAGCCCACAUGCCUCCUCUUUCCUCUCCAUUAUCCUUCUCUCUCCGCCCCUUGUUCAUCCGCGACGGCCUGAGCUCACCACGAUCCAUGGCCCUCUCCUUCUGCCAGCAUCGGUACAUCGCGGGUCGUCCGUGGCGCUCGACCUCCUCGUUCCGCGCCGCCCAUACUGCACUGCGCACGCGCGCCUCCUGAUCCAUGGCCGCCUUUUGCCCAGCUGCGAGAUCGAUGUUGGGCGCCAUGACCAGCCUCUUGCGCAGCUCGUCCAUGACGUUGGGGCUUCUGUAGAGAAGAAAUGAGGGAGGGAGAUGAGCAGAGAGGGGGGGAGGAUAAACAGAGGAAGGAGGGGGAGAGCAAGGGAAGAAAAGAGCAGAGAGAAGGGGCGGCGCCGCUCCGGCGAGCUGCGGCUGGGGUCCUCGGUGGCUGCCUACUGCGUGGUUGUGUCGUUGAAGCUCACAUGAUGGAGUGUUUAUGCACAACUGAAGUUGGCACAUUCAGUUCUGCAUAUAUCGAACAGCCUUCAAAACUUCUGAAAGCAAAGAGCUGGAGAACUAUCCUCUAGACUCUCCUGUAUCCCCACAGAUUAUUUUGCUUCCAAACUUCUGAUAAACACAGCAGCUUCCAAUGCAAUUUCACUUGCCAGAUGUUGUUAUUCAGGAGGAGGAUUUCCGUAGUAUCCCUGGGCUGGAAUAGAAUUCCUUGAUUUGAUGUCAAGAAUUGGCAACUGCAGAAUACAUUGUCUCGAGGAUUAUACGAUUAUUAAAGCACAUACAUCGAAGUUUUAAUAUAGGCAGGUUGCAUGCACACGCACCUCUUUGCCCAGGUGUACUUGAUGACACAUAUGCCCUUUGUAUGGCUGGUAAACAGAAGGUGGUCACGUUGCUGCAUUUGAUUGUUGCGUACAAGGAUGAUACUGAGUAUAAUGUGCUUGCACAUGCCAUCAACUCACUACUCUUCCUAUUCUAAUUAAUUUUUGUUGUUCCUAAACUUGAUCUUGUUCUAAUGAUAAUUUAUCAUGCAGUCUCUUCUAGCUUUUCAGAAAUCCAUCCCUUGCAAGUGAGGUGGCUGGGAUGCCAAGAGUGGGGAGGGUCACCUGAAUACACUGUUAAGAGGUGUAAAGGAAGUGAAGUGUGAACCCAGUGUUUCUUUUGACUACUCCCAAGUCUGAAAUGAAUUCCAUGAGGAGGAAAAGGCUGAAUUGAGUGCUUGAAAUAAAGGAGGAGCAUCCUAAGAAGCAGUCAGGUUGGAGAAAAAGAUCAGAGUUUCAUCUGUUGUGGAAGUGGAAGGUAAUUAGACGUCAGAAGAUUACAAGGAAAGAUAAAGCGGAUAAAUUUACACGGAAUCAUACCACAUGAGCUCACAUCGCGAUCCACAGACGAUCCAUCUCUUUCAAGAGCGGCCGUUGUCCCACGACAUAGUUUCUUGACCUGCCAACCAUGAUUCAUAGGAUAGGAAGUGGUGCUCUCUCCCGGUGCAAUGCACGGGCAUUUGUGCUAGUGUUACUAAGCGUACCAAAUUUCACUGGAAGGACUUGAAGCAUGUCAUAAACUUUGUUGAUAAUCUGACAGAGAUAGCACAGCGUAUGAACGCUGGAUUUUGGAUGGGAUUAAUUAUACCUAUGGUGCACACAAUGAACAAGACCAAUUGUGUUCACAAAACGCUGAAAUUGCCCGCUGUAGCAGUUCCUGGAUCGAUUUCCCGACGUGGUCAAAUUACACUUGUGCUUGCUAAUAACGCCAAAGUGAUUGCAAGGUACUGCAUUUCCCGCAGAAAUGGAACCAUUCAUAUUAACAAGUUCUCGCUUGUCGUGGCAAUCCAUCCAUAUUGGAAAAUUGGAGACACUGUUCUACUCAUGCUCUACCAAGGCAUAGGAGGGCUCUUCCUUUUCAUUGACGAGAUGUCGAGUCGCCGUGAUCAAGCUGCUUCCAGCGGAUAGUUGUGGUUGUUGGUCCUUGGCCUCUUAAAAUUUGCUAGCUGUUACUAUGUUAAGUAUGUAGAUAUGGACCAUAUGGUUGUUGGCCCUUAGCCACUUAAAAUGUGAUGGUUGCUACUAUGUUAAGUAUGUAAAUAUGGACCAUACGGUUGUCAAAACCGUGUUA